rnacentral:rRNA from 1 species
UACGAAGGGUGCAAGCGUUACUCGGAAUUACUGGGCGUAAAGCGUGCGUAGGUGGUGAGUUAAGUCUGUCGUGAAAGCCCCGGGCUCAACCUGGGAAUGGCGAUGGAUACUGGCUCGCUAGAGUGCGGUAGAGGAGAGUGGAAUUCCCGGUGUAGCAGUGAAAUGCGUAGAGAUCGGGAGGAACAUCAGUUGCGAAGGCGGCUCUCUGGACCAGCACUGACACUGAGGCACGAAAGCAUGGGGAGCAAACAGG